UAACCACUCAAGCCUCGGCUUGGUCUUGGGGUUCGCGGUCUCGCGGCUCUUAAAAUCAGUGGCGGUGCCGUCUGGCUCUAAGCGUAGUAAUUCUCUCGCUAUAGGGUCCAGGUGACCACCUGCCAGAACCCUCCAUUCUUUAC
rnacentral:misc_RNA from 2 species